GCACCGUGAACUCAUCCUGUCCCUGCUGUGUAUCGUGCAGGGGAAGGUCACUCAGUGCUAUAAUAAUGCUGAGGAAAUCCAGAUGGAGCAUAUGCCUUGUGUUCUGUCUCUACACCUUUGCCACAUGC